AACCAUGCAGUGAACACAGAGCGAACUAUUCUUUCACCUUUUACUAAAGAAUACUGUGUGUUCGCUGCAGAAAGUGGCAUACGCCUAUUUUAGAGGGCUCUUUCAUUGGAAAAGGCC